rnacentral:rRNA from 1 species
AUUGAACGCUGGCGGCAGGCCUAACACAUGCAAGUCGAGCGGAUGAAGGGAGCUUGCUCCUGGAUUCAGCGGCGGACGGGUGAGUAAUGCCUAGGAAUCUGCCUGGUAGUGGGGGAUAACGUCCGGAAACGGGCGCUAAUACCGCAUACGUCCUGAGGGAGAAAGUGGGGGAUCUUCGGACCUCACGCUAUCAGAUGAGCCUAGGUCGGAUUAGCUAGUUGGUGGGGUAAAGGCCUACCAAGGCGACGAUCCGUAACUGGUCUGAGAGGAUGAUCAGUCACACUGGAACAGAGACACGGUCCAGACUCCUACGGGAGGCAGCAGUGGGGAAUAUUGGACAAUGGGGGAAAGCCUGAUACAGCAAUGUCGCGUGUGUGAAGAAGGUCUUCGGAUUGUAAAGCACUUUAAGUUGGGAGGAAGGGCAGUAAGUUAAUACCUUGCUGUUUUGACGUUACCAACAGAAUAAGCACCGGCUAACUUCGUG